rnacentral:rRNA from 1 species
CCAGCUCCAAUAGCGUAUAUUUAAGUUGUUGCAGUUAAAAAGCUCGUAGUUGGAUUUCGGGUGGGUUCUAGCGGUCCGCCUUUGGUGAGUACUGCUAUGGCCUUCCUUUCUGCCGGGGACGGGCUCCUGGGCUUCACUGUCCGGGACUCGGAGUCGGCGAGGAUACUUUGAGUAAAUUGGAGUGUUCAAAGCAGGCCUACGCUCUGAACAUUUUAGCAUGGAAUAUCAUGAUAGGACUCUGGCCUAUCUUGUUGGUCUGUAGGACCGGAGUAAUGAUUAAGAGGGACAGUCGGGGGCAUUCGUAUUUCAUUGUCAGAGGUGAAAUUCUUGGAUUUAUGAAAGACGAACUACUGCGAAAGCAUUUGCCAAGGAUGUUUUCA